GGAGCACUAUAUAUUGAUUAUAUCGAAUAAAAUUCUAAAUGUUUAUUGAUAAUGACGAUAAACAGAUUGAUGCCUUGACUAAUUACGUGCCAGCAGUCGCGGUAAUACGUAAGAGGCUAGUGUUAUUCAUCUUAAAUAGGUUUAAAGGGUACUUAGACGGUGAAAAUUUUCCUUUAUAAAGGUACAUUUUUACUAGAGUUUUAUGUGAGGAGGUAGUACUUGAGGUGUAGAGAUUAUAUUUGUUGAUACCUUAGGGACUGAUAAAGGCGAAGGCAACCUUUUAUGUAAAAACUGACGUUGAAGGACGAAGGCACAGAGAACGAACAGGAUGUGCGACCUGAAAGUCUUAAUUAAAAUAAUAUAACAUAUAAUAACUAUUAUAUGAUUAUACUUGUAUUUCAUUUUACAUGAGUCUAUCUAAAUAUGCGAAGAGGGUAACUUUUUGGUGUAAAGCUUUAGAGAUAAGUAAUUUUGAAUUAAAGUGCUAAAAUUACUGGCUUACUUCUAUGGUUAGAGAAAUUGAACCAAUGUAACUAAAAUUUUGUCUGCAGUUAUAUCUUCUAGAUGUAUAAGUAGGCUAUAGCAAUAUUGGGUAUAAUGCUAUAGUUAAUUAGGCAUUUAACGAGUCCUGGGUUAAAUGAAAAUGAACAAAUAAUUAGCAAAGUAAAGUUGGAACCUAAGGGAGUGUGUUUUAAUUAAGGAACAGGGUAAUGCCCAUAAUUUGUAAGAUUAAUAUAAAGAUAUAAGGCAAGAUAUGCUGAACCACACAUAGGUGUGGGUAUUAGUCUUACCGGGUUAAUUGUAAAAUUAACUAUCGAUUAGGGGUAAGAGGACAACGUAAAAAGCAAAUGCGAUUCUGUAAUGGAAUUGAUAGAGAUUUUUAUCUUAGUUUGAAAAAACGCAGACUUACGUAUGGAUUUUAUAUAUGGAAUGAAUUGUUUUAAGGACAUGGAAAGAAACAAUAUAACAACAAUUAAUUUAGGGGCCAGUACUAGUGGUACGGUCCAGAUUCCUCUUGCAAAUUUUGACCUUAAGGGAUUGGCGUGAUUCGUAGGAUUUACGGAUGCAGAGGGUUCUUUUACUGUAUAUCCAAAAAAAAGAACAUUAGCUUCAGGUGAAGUAAGUAAAUAUAAUGUAGGUUUAAGUUUUCAUAUCUCGUUGCAUAAUAAAGAUAUCGAUAUUGUUAAAGACAUAAGAAAUAAAUUAAAUAAUGUAGGUACUCUUUAUGAGUAUUCAGAUAGAGAUGAAGCAAGGAUAGCCAUUAAUGAUAAAAAGGGAUUAGAGUCAAUAUUUCCAUUAUUCGAAAUAUUUCCUUUAAUUACGACUCAUCAAUUAUUAAGAUAUCUUCUUUUAAAGGAAUUUUUAAUUAAUGAUAUAAAAGAAUUUAAAACUUUGGAGGAAUAUACUGAGACUAAAGAUAAAUUAUUAUUAAAAAUUAAAGAAAAUUUAAAUAAAGUUACUAACGAUUCUAUUUUAUCAAGAGAAAACUUAGAUAGUUGAAUAGUUGGAUUUGUUAAUGGUGAAGGUUGUUUCUAUCUUAAAAAAGAUAAAUUAAAUUUUAUUAUAGAACAUACUGAUAAAUUUGCUCUAGAUUUAAUAAAACAAAGGUUCUCAUUUGGGCCUAAUGUUCUAGAAAGAUCUCCUAGAGCUAGAGACGAGAAUAAACCUCAUAUAAAAAAAACUUAUAUGUUGCAUAUUUCAAGUAAAAAAGAUAUUAAUAAUUUAAUCGAGUUUUUUGAUAGCGAUAAUAUAAUAAAAUUGCAAGGUAAUAAGUUAAUACAAUAUAACGAUUGAAAAAAAAACUUAAUAUAGAUUUAUUUGCUUUAUUCUGUAGCUAAUGUUACUUUAUUAUGUCUUUAAUAUUCCAUUUAUAACGUUUGAGCCGUAUGCGAUGAAAGUCGCACGUACGGUUCUAAGGGGGGGAAAGCUCGCGAGGGCCUACCUAUCCCAACUAGAUACCCUAGUAGUCUUUGCAGAGAAUGAUGAAUGCCAUAGGUUAGGUUUUAAUAACUUGGUCUAUAAAUGAAAGUGUAAGCAUUUCACCUCAAGAGUAAUGUGGCAACGCAGGAACUGAAAUCACUAGACCGUUUCUGACACCAGCAGUGAAGUAUGUUAUUUAAUUCGAUGAUCCACGAAAAACCUUACCACAAUUUGAAUGUUAUUAAUAGUAAUUAAUAAUACAAGUGUUGCACGGCUGUUUUCAGUUAAUGUUGUGAAACUGCGGAUUCGUCCGUGGAAUUAACGAAUACCCUGGCUUUAUUUAUAAUCUAUUAAUAUAGAGCAUUUUCUGAUAUGCUACAA
rnacentral:rRNA from 1 species